rnacentral:rRNA from 1 species
UACGAAGGGGGCUAGCGUUGCUCGGAAUUACUGGGCGUAAAGGGCGCGUAGGCGGAUAGUUUAGUCAGAGGUGAAAGCCCAGGGCUCAACCCUGGAAUUGCCUUUGAUACUGAAGAUCUUGAGUUCGGGAGAGGUGAGUGGAACUGCGAGUGUAGAGGUGAAAUUCGUAGAUAUUCGCAAGAACACCAGUGGCGAAGGCGGCUCACUGGCCCGAUACUGACGCUGAUGCACGAAAGCGUGGGGAGCAAACAGG